rnacentral:rRNA from 1 species
AACGAACGCUGGCGGCAUGCCUAACACAUGCAAGUCGAACGAGACCUUCGGGUCUAGUGGCGCACGGGUGCGUAACGCGUGGGAACCUGCCCUUAGGUUCGGAAUAACUCCCCGAAAGGGGUGCUAAUACCGGAUAAUGUCUUCGGACCAAAGAUUUAUCGCCUUUGGAUGGGCCCGCGUUGGAUUCGCUAGUUGGUAGGGUAAAAGCCUACCAAGGCGACGAUCCAUAGCUGGUCUGAGAGGAUGAUCAGCCACACUGGGACUAGGACACGGCCGAGACUCCUGCGGGAUGCAGCAGUGGGUAAUAUUGGACAAUGGGCGGAAUCCUGAUCCAGCAAUGCCGCGUGAGUGAUGAAGGCCUUAGGGUUGUAAAGCUCUUUUACCCGGGAUUAUAAUGACAGUACCGAGAGAAUAAGCUCCGGCUAACUCCGUG